GUGUUUGUAGUCCAACGGUUACGAUAAUUGCCUUCCAAACAAUACACUUGGGUUCGACUCCUGGUAAACGAA
rfam:Ipomoea nil DNA, scaffold: scaffold1734, cultivar: Tokyo-kokei standard.